rnacentral:lncRNA from 1 species
UCAUCAAGAAGAGGUAAAAAAGAUCUCAUCAUCGCAUGCAUAGGAUACACAAUCUCAUAUUUGCCACAAAAGUUACAUUUAUUAGGUGACCUACACGCUCACAUAUACCUAUCCACGUCUGAACUAGAUUUCAAAUAUUAUCCAUGUGCAGGUUCAUCAUACUCGCUGAAAUUCAGCCACACAAGCACCCUCCCCCCCUCGAUUUAGACUAAACGAAUAUGUAUCCAGGGUUCAUAUAUUACUCACUCAUGUCUACUCUUUGUCUUCCA